GUAAUACUUCCUCCAUCCGGAAAUACUUGUCCUAGAGAUGAAUGUAUCUAGACUUAUUUUAAUUAUAGAUACAUCCAUUUUAUUCAUUUUUAGGACAAGUAUUUCCGGACGGAGGGAGUACAUC
rnacentral:pre_miRNA from 1 species